rnacentral:lncRNA from 1 species
GCAGAAGGGUAUUCAUAUUCCAUCGCACCGGAAGAAAGUGGCAGAUGUUGAUCAUGUCUUAUGGCAGGAGUGUGUUUAAGUCCAGGUUCAGUUCUUUGUAAAUGUGGUGUAAAAUGAUCAUGGCUUGUAACAGAAGGGUAUUCAGAUUCCAUCGCACCGGAAGAAAGUGGCAGAUGUUGAUCAUGUCUUAUGGCAGGAGUGUGUUUAAGUCCAGGUUCAGUUCGUUGUAAAUGUGGUGUAGAAUGAUCAUGUCCUGUAACAGAAGGGUAUUGAGUUUUUGUCACAUUGGAAAAAUGUGGCAAGUUUUGGUCAUGACUUGUUGCAAAAUGGUGCUGAUUUAUGGGAUCAGA